GCUUUGAUUAGUGCUUUUCUUGUUCUUUUGAGAGCUAAAGGAGAAACCUUUGAAGAAGUAGUGGGAUUGGCAAGGGCAAUGAUAAAGCAUUGCAGACAAGUUGAAGGUUUAGGUGACGCAGUUGAUAUUGUUGGGACAGGAGGGGAUGGAGCAAACACGGUGAAUAUCUCAACAGGUGCCUCAAUUCUUGCUGCAGCUUGUGGUGCAAAAGUAGCCAAGCAAGGGAAUAGAUCCAGUUCAUCCGCUUGUGGGAGCGCAGAUGUAUUGGAAGAACUAGGUGUUGCCAUUGAGCUGGACCCUGAGGGGGUGAAAGAGUGUGUAAAUCAAGCUGGAAUUGGUUUCAUGAUGUCUCCGAUCUACCAUCCGGCAAUGAAGAUCGUCAGACCUAUCAGAAAAAAGCUGAAAGUAAAGACGGUGUUCAACAUCUUGGGACCUAUGUUGAACCCAGCAAGAGUGCCG
rnacentral:misc_RNA from 1 species